AAUAUGUUGUAAUUUCAUGUUUUUUUUACUCACUCUUCUUAGAAUAACUUUACCAUUUAUUGGUGCUUUUAGAUGAAACAAAAAGAAAAUUGUAAAGUGGAAUAAGGAGAAUCCAAAAUAAAUUUAAUUUGAAGUUAGUUUGAACGGUUAAUUUGAAGGAAAAGUGUCAAAAUGCACUUUUUUAGCAUUUUAGUCGUGGGGCAAAGCGUGAUUAUUUUUUAAAAUAUUUUUGUUUUUUUUAAUAAAAAGUUAAUAAAGUUUUUCAUGCAGCCCGUUUGCCAAAAAAAAAAUAUUUUUUUUAUUUACCCACUAAAAAUUUGAUUUUAAUAAACCAAUAUUUGCAUUCUGUUUUUGAGAAAGGGGCAGUCAAAGCAUCCACAAUUUAUUUUUAUUAUUUUUUUUCAUUAUAUUUCAAAUCAGUUUCAAAAAAAAUAUAUAUGUUUUUCUCACAGUAUUUUUAAUAUAAAUUGUUGAAAAAGUGUCUAUUUUAGCUUUUUUUACUUUGAAAAUUCCAUUAAUCACGCACACAUACAAAUUUAGUUCAAAAGAAUGCCACACAUAAGCUGGCUCUGAUGAACUCUUUCUUUCUGUUCUUUUCUAUUUAUUGAAAAAAACUUGCUCUUGCGCUCUCAUUUUCUCGUUAUAUUUUGUUUGUUUUUUUUUUUUGUUUCCUAUUUCCUCACUCAGGCAGGCAGAAAUCAUUCAUGAAAUUAUGAAAAUGCUGCAGAGAGUAGGUAGAUAGUAGCAGGGUUGAAAAAUCGUCUUUGAGCAUUGUAUCGAAAGUGAAAUAAAAAGUGUAUCGAAUUGUACUUUUUAAAUCUUUCAAAUUUUAUUAAAAAACAAUUCGAAAAAUUUAUUUUAAAUGAACGAAAAACUUUAAGAUAAACCAAAAAACUAAAUUCAUUUUUUUUUUCAAAAAAAUCGAAAAAACUUUUGAGGUCAUUUUUGAUUUUGAUCUUUGUUACUGUGUUCCUAUUUACCGUUUACAACUGCAAAACACUGAUGUUUCAUUACAACUCAAAAUAUGCAGAAUUAUUGCAGGUGUAUUGAACUUCGAAAUAUAGGCUUUAAUCUUAUCGUAAAUGGCUAUGACAAUUGAGGUGAAUUUAUAACAAAAAAAAAAAAAAUUAAAAAACCUAACCUUUGCCAAUUUUUUUUUAAUAAAUCUCACAUGUAAACAAAAAAGUAAUGUCCUGAAAAGAAAAUUGUGUUUCUUUGAAGAAAAUUAAAUAAAGACUUUAAAUUCCCCCUUGACCGUUCAAUGUUCUAUUCAAAUCAAACGUGUAUUUGACUAAUAUUGCAGUUUUAACAAUAUCUUAGAAGAAUUGAAAAGAAAAAAUUGAUCCAGAAUACCUUUUACAUUGAUAUUAGCGGAAAGACAGAACUGUAUCGAAUUUAGUAAUAGUGUAUUUGUGUACUUUAGCCAAGCCAAGUGUAUCGAAAAAAGGACAAUCGUAUUGACUUUUGCAACCCAGGAUAGUAGAUAUUUUUUGCAAGAUCAUUAUCUUUGGUUUUCAAAAAGUGUUGUUUUGUUCUUGUUGACUCUUGGGUUUUCCUAACAAUUCAUUUCGUGUUUAUAACAUCGCACUCGCGGGUGCGAGUUGACAUUUUUGGGUUUUUUGUUCUGUUCUUUGCAUUGUGUAAAGGAUUAGAUAUGUGGGUACAUUGGUAAAUAUGCACUUGUUUGUGUGUAAAAAUGUAUAUUGACAUUUGACAUGUACACAAUGAUUGAUUUGCAUAUUUAGGUUGAUUUCUGGGUUGUUUUAUUUAUUAUACUACACUCGCGCUUGAUGCGUGCGGGGUAAUAUAAUAUAAAUACAUAUAUGUCCUUUUUUUUAUUGUCUUUGUUUAUAUGUUGCGGAUUCGGUUUUUUUUUUUUUGUAGGUUACCACAGAGAAUUUUUGCCAUUUUAGGUAUAAUAGUUAUAUUUGCGCGGGGGAAUGGGUAAAGGAGUAUAUAAGUGUAUUUGUGGUUAGAAUAGUUUUGCAAUGGGCUUUCAAUUCAGUGUCUUCUUUGUUUGUGAAUGAAGAAGAAGCUUUUUAUGUUUUGAUCUAGUUUUCUGAAGUAAGACUCCAAUUGAAACGAAAAAAGUAGUAUGUAGAUGCCUAUCUGAUUUCAUAAAUAAAAUAUCAGUUUAAAAAAACAGAUCAUUUUUUCCAAAGUGUUGAGCUUGAAAAUUAUUUUUGAAAACUUCAAUUAACUUUGAUUACAUAGUUGAAAAUUAUUAUCAAGGUUGAAAAAAAGUAACUUAUAAGUUUUAAAUGCUGCCUUAUUUUUGUUUUCUAAUAAUGUAGGAAUAGGUAAAUAAAAAACAAAAUCGAUUCAAUUACGAACUGAGUUCAUUGCAUUGGUUACUCUAAAAAAAAUCUUUAUUAAAAAGGUGUUAAAAGUAAAUUGGAUUGAUAUACCUACAUAUGUGCAUAAACAUAAUUAGGUAAUAAUCUUGGUUUGUUUGGUCUAUCCAAAUUCAUACAGCUAUAUUUAUUCAAGGCUUAAUUUUAUACACAGUCAUAAUCAUAACUAUCAAUUUAUUCUCGGCUAAAUAUUUAGUGCAAUCAGCACGAGGCCUUAUCCUUCAAGCAAGAAAACUGAGUUCAACAAAGAAACUCCGACCUCAGACCGCGAAAAUCGGGGUUGCACUCACACACUUGCAACUUUUUGUGUAUGAACACAAAAGUCGAACGAGAAUCGUGGUGAAAAAGUGCGAAAAGGAAAACACUAUAUGAUAGAGACAAGUGCAACCCCAUUUUACAAAAGAACAACACGUCGAAAUUAAUAAAACAAUAAAAAAAAAGUAAGUAAGCGAAGCGAAAGUGGAAGCGAAAGUAAUAAUUCAAAGAAAUUUUAUAUAAAAAAAUAAAAAAUACUAUCAUCUCAUCUCCAAAAAAAAGAGCAGCUGUAGAGGGUGGCCGAGGUUUGGGACCAGAUUUUGAAAAAAGAAGAUGUUUCGCGAAUGAAGACGCUAAAGUUGAUGUUGAAACUCUGGCCUGUCAGUGGGAAGGAAUAAGAAGCGCCUGAAGGUUGGUGGAAUUCGCAAGACGCAUUCCUGGAUUCGGGAGUUACGAUGAUAUCGCCUUUGAAAAUGACGAAUAGGGUCUUAUGUACGCAGAGCUAGCAACUAGUAUGGAAGGAUUCUUAAAUAUUACGGUCAAUGCAUCUACUCUCCAAGUUCAUGCUAGAAAGCUCCGAGAGAAUUUGGACAUCCAUAGCAACUCAAACUACAGCAGCAACAACAAAUGAAAAUAAAUGAAAUGUAUUUUAUUGUAUUUAUUGUAAUUUCUUUUGCUACAAAAACAUUAAAUUAAAAAAAA